rnacentral:rRNA from 1 species
UGGGGAAUAUUGCACAAUGGGGGAAACCCUGAUGCAGCGACGCCGCGUGAGCGAAGAAGGCUUUCGAGUCGUAAAGCUCUGUCCUAUGAGAAGAUAAUGACGGUAUCAUAGGAGGAAGCCCUGGCUAAAUACAUGCCAGCAGCCGCGGUAAUACGUAUGGGGCGAGCGUUGUCCGGAAUUAUUGGGCGUAAAGGGUACGUAGGCGGUUUUUUAAGUCAGGUGUCAAAGCGUGGAGCUUAACUCCAUUAAGCACUUGAAACUGAAAGACUUGAGUGAAGGAGAGGAAAGUGGAAUUCCUAGUGUAGCGGUGAAAUGCGUAGAUAUUAGGAGGAAUACCGGUGGCGAAGGCGACUUUCUGGACUUUUACUGACGCUCAGGUACGAAAGCGUGGGGAGCAAACAGG